ACGCUCGACACCUACGGGAGGUAGCAGUGGGGAAUAUUGCACAAUGGGGGAAACCCUGAUGCAGCGACGCCGCGUGAGUGAAGAAGUAUUUCGGUAUGUAAAGCUCUAUCAGCAGGGAAGAAGAUGACGGUACCUGAGUAAGAAGCCCCGGCUAACUACGUGUCAGCAGCCGCGGUAAUCUGAGCGGGCUGGCAAGGC
rnacentral:rRNA from 1 species